rnacentral:tRNA from 1 species
GCAUCCAUGGCUGAAUGGUUAAAGCGCCCAACCUAUACCAACUAAUAAAGGGGCAAAUUCGUAGGUUCGAUUCCUGCUGGAUGCA